UCCAUAUCCUUAAAUUCCAAGCCUCAGAUGAUUUGCAUUAAUAUAUUAUCUCUAAUACCUUGGCCCAAACAUUGAUGGUACAUGCAAAAUUUAUAAAGCUAGAUUUGUUGUGAGUGCAUAGCAUAUUGAAAUAAAUUUGGAUGAACUAACUUGAGUUCUUCCAUCAAGUUUUAUUAUAUCAAAUCUUCAAUAAAAAAUUUACAACAAAAACGACAUGUAAAUAUUGACAAGCCUGAUGUUGUGUGCCCGCAACACUUCUGCCGCUGAUUAUGAUGAUGAAUUCUUCGCUUAAAUGGAAGUUUUUCAGUGUGAACUUUUGAUGAACUAUCUUCAUGAUGAUGAUGCUAGAUGUUAUAUGAUUUGUUAUGUUAAUGAAAAUCUUUUAUACCUAGCUGACUACCCAUUAUGUUAUACUCCCUCCAUUCCUUUAUAUAAGGUGUAUUUGUUUUUUCAAAAGUCAAACGAGUGCAUGUUUGACCAAGCUUUUAGAAAAAUAUAUACAUAUUCACAAUAUGAAAUUUAUAUAAUUUGAUCCAUCAUGAAAAGUAGUUUCAUGUUUUAUCUAUUAGGUAUAGCAGAUGUUAUUAUUUUAUUCUAUAAUCUUGGUCAAACAUUUAAAUGGUUGACUUCCACGGAAAUCAAUACACCUUAUAUUCUGGAACGGACUAUGAUUUAUUUAUUUUCUCCAGUUGCAAUGCACGGGCUAUUACCAAUAAUUUUCAUUAUCAAAUGCAGUGUUAAUGAAAGGGUGUUCCUUUAUCAUGGUUAAAGGUUGCAUGUCUUCUGAUAAGUGCCUUGAUAUCUUUUCGGUCUCUACUUGAAUGUUGCGUAAUUAAUUUUUUAGUGCCCAACAAUCUUUGCACUGAUUCUUGCAAGGGAUCCUCGAGGAAGCUAAGUAAAUGACUAUUCUCAGUGGAGACGACACCAUAGAUGUUGUUUUGAAGUAAGCUCCUGCUCACCAUUCUUUUGUAGUUCCUUCAGAAGAAAUGAUUCCAUUCUUUUACUUGAGACUGCAAGAGUUGUUUUUACCCAUUCAUCUUAGUUUAAUACAAAGUAGAUGCCAGGACAGAAAUAUAUACUUGAAACCCAAUGAGGUCAAUGAUGUGCGAGAUUCUUUGUUCAGAGGAUGGCUCAAAGACCAAUUACAUCAAACUAAGAAGGUUUAACCAAAAUGAUGCAAGUUUGAAUUGCCUCUCGCUUAAACUUUCUUAAUUAUGCAUUCAUCAUUUUUGAGAUGUUAAGCUCUGAUGAUCACACUACUUGAUUAUCCUAUUCCAGGAUCCGUUGAGGAAGCCAUUAAGAAAUUAAGGGAGAACAAUAUAAAGGCCUUUGUGUUCGAUCUACAGAUUAACAGAUUUUUACCUGUAGAAUUCGUGGUAGAUUUUCACCUAAUGUUGUUGAAAAAUCUAAAUCUUUACAUGGUUGUUUUGAUGCAGUGGUCGGCUUUUUCCUGAAGGGAUUGAGAUUACCAAGAUUCGGAUCAGAUCCCUGCUUUGUCAGCGCAGGAGAACUGCUCAAGCACGUAGGCACGGCGUGCCUGACGCGAAUUACACCCGAACUGCCCUCCUUUGACAUAAAAGGUACCCGAUUCCCUCGACAAAAAUCCUGACUAAAUCGCAAGUUUCCUUGCUUGAAAAUUGAUGCAUCUGAGGUUUUCAAUCUCGCCGACUUCGCUGGAGUGGCGUGCGCCCAUGCUCAAGUAGAGGUACGAAUUUGCAAUAUUAAUUGUUUUUAGGUGCUUCUACAUGAAUCCACCAUUAGUACCAACUUAGCCACCACACUUUCCCUACUGUAGCAGCCUUCAAAGCACCACUGUAUGUGGGCUCUCUCAAUGUCAUUUCAUUGGCUGAGUUGAUCUCACAGGCUAACAUCAAUUUAGAUUGCACAUUUAUCAGUUGGAUUAUAUCAUAGACUGAAGUUCAGACCAUUAUAAUGUAUGUUGCUUCUUUGAAAGUUAGACUUCAUAAAGAAGCAAUUUCAUCCGACCACAGUAGCUCUGAAAAAAUGCAUAACGGAUUUGUGGGUUCACCUUCAUGGAUGGUGCUUUUCUUGUGAUAGUGUCAUAACUGAUAAAUAAAUAAAUCUACAUUGCUUCACAUGCUAGAUGAUUUUGGUGGCCUACUGUGUGACGUAUACUUGACUGGUGAGGGCUUAAAAUGGGGCCUUGGUUUCAAAACUCUGUUUGUGCACAAUCUAUAUCCUCUAUUGUGAAGGAACUGGAUGGAGCAAGGUCCACAUGCCUUAAAUUUCUUAAAGAUCUCCUGCACUUGCUUAAUUUACCCAGUGGAGUAAACAAAAGCUGGGUCCAGUACUACUGCAUGCCUAAUGCAGAACUUCUUUUAUGCACAACCCCAGUGCGGGAGUGUGAAUUGGUGAUCCCACUACAUUGGUUAACUGAGUGCAAUGGUAAUACCGUCUGAAUUGCCUCACCCUCUUUAUACUGUCUGAUUUCACUUAGUCAUUGUUGCAUUUACCAUAAGAUUAACUUCUUAUACUGAUAUGCUAUUUUUUCUUCCUUAAGAAAUAUUGUAACGGCCAUAUCUUUUCUUAUGUUCCAUUGUUAUUGAUCUGUUUUUCAUAAUUUUAAUUCUUAUUUUUCAAUUAUUAUCUCUAUGUAUGCCAAAAGCUGGAUUCGUGACAAGUUUAUUUGGGAGAAUAGUUAUGCCCAAAUUUAAUAAAGUUUUGCUGAACAUACAGUAUCACAUAAAUCCUUCUAUCAUCUUAUUUCCAAAUGUUCAAUUUUAUGAGAGGAAUUAGCACGGCGGCCAAGUUAAGGCGUAUUUCCAUGCCGGUGGGCCGAGCUCGACGGCAAUCCGGCACAGGCGGUGUCCACCAACAGCUCCUCUUCCAAGGACAAAGUGGGCCACGCACAACAGACCUGCAUGCAGAUUUUCGUUUUCAUGUCAUUUAUUUGCUUAUAAUUUAUACUUGGUCUUAAUACUAGCUUUUUGUUUGUAAUAGUUCAUGGGGUAAAAUUUCUUCAUGACGUUGGUUCGUUUGCAUAGCCAAAUUAUUAUGAUUAUAUUUUAUUACUCUCUGUCGUCGGAUAGAAAUAUAUUACUUUAAUGUCUUUGUCCUCAUUUUGCUCUCUUGAACCAGAGUUUCUUCACAUCAUGUACCUCUUUGGUGAAGCUUUCCCUUCUUUUACUCUUACAUAAGCUAUGGAACUGAGCUACCUACGCAUAGAAACCAAACGUUACGGCUAGGAAUAUUGCUGAAGAGUCGUGUAUAUGGAGUGUUGUAGGUGCCAUGGGAUAGAUGCGUAUAGUUGGUUCUCAUUUUGUUUCAAUCAAGUGGCAUCACAUAGUGUAUGUCCUUGCAUGCUAUAUAAUGUUUAGUCACAACAAGUGGGGUAAUGUUUUGUUCAUAUCUAAUGUAGAAAUGUAGAAUCGUGCUAUUUGAGAGGUAUAAAUAGAUUGUUUUAUACUCCCUCUGUUUGGAAUUACUUAUCGCAGAAAUGAAUGUAUCUAGACGUAUUUUAGUUCUAGAUACAUCCAUUUUCGAGACAAGUAAUUCCGAACGGAGGGAGUAGGUGUUAAGUACAUAUUUAAUUAUUUCCUAUAUGUUGCAAUGCAGCCCAUCUGAUAUGAUGAUUUUUAGGUUGUAUGUUUUUUUUCCCGUUGCAACGCACGGGCAUAUUUACUAGGUUAAAGAUAAAGUUGUUCACCCGGUUAGUUGACUAGGAUUGACGUUGCAUGUUUCGAACUAGCACCACAAAGAAUUAUAUUGUUAAUUGAACCAUCAUUUUGGUCAUCAGCAAACUUAUUCUCUAAUUGGCAUUUGUGCCACAAUGAAUCAUAUAUAUGUAUAUAUAAUAUAAUAAUAAUAAAGCACGGGUUGAGCAUGGCGGGUUCACCGUCGCGGCGUUUUUGCAAAGAAGUCCCUGUUUUUUUUUAUAAUUAACCCGCGCUAUAGUUUUAAGUGGUGAACAGAGGGAAAACGUUUCGUGUGUUGGCUUGGGACUCGGCUUGGCCUUCAGGGAAAAAAUAUAGCACGGCGGCCUGUCCUCUAUGAGUACGCACAACAGCACGGGUCCUCUUCCCGGGGACGGCACGGCAGCGCCGCCAUGAAUCAAGCCGCCACGCGCGGCCGGUCUACCUCUCCCGCUACUCUCCAGCAGCGCGGCCGUUGCCCUUUUCUUCCCCUCCUCACCCGCCCCAACUCCUCACCCCCAGCCUCCUCGGCCUCAACGCGGACGUCUCCGAUUUGGAUAGGAUUCGAUGGCGUGUUCACACCGCCACGCGCGGCCGGUGCCCUGUUCUUCGCCUCCUCACCCCCGGCCUCCUCCGCCUCGAGGAGGACGGCUCCGAUUUGGAGCUCAAGUACUGCCUCCCCGACACCUCCGUCCCCAACUACGUCGUCCCGUCAGACGAGGACGAGAUUUGGAUUGGGGCGCAACAGAGAUGAGGAAGGACAAAGCAAGAAUAGCUCCAGUGAGAGUGAACGAAUAUGAACACCACAACCCUCUCAGGGGAUGUUGGCUGAUCAGGAUACCCAAUUCUCAAACAAGCAUGCUGAGAUGCUCAAGAUAUGGAAGUUCGUCCACAAGCUCGACCACCAGGUUUUUUUGGUUCAUGUUCAAUGGGAGGCGAAUAGUGUAGAGAGGGUAUCUGAUGCAAGUCCAAGGUAAACAUUUGUUUCUUUUAUUGUGUUUAGGUGAACAUGUAAAAGGUGCAGAUGGACAUGAUGAAGCCGUGAAUUGUCACACAAGUCACUGAGCUUCUUGGGUUCGAAAAACUACCUAACUGCUAUUAUCCUGAAUUUAGUUUUAUCUGAACUAAGAGGACCACCUGUGCUUCUCUAACAAAGAAUUACUCAUUUGGUAUUCUUUUGCACUGUUGAUUUUAGUUCAAAUUGGUGUGAGUGCGACCUCUUUGUCAUGUUGGAUAAGGCUUUCUGUAUCACAUGGAUGUGACCUGUAGUAUGGUGUAGAAAAGUGAUGAAAGGUAUUAGUUGGAAUUAAUUUGGCAGCAAUAGUUUAUCAAGUUUUUGCCAAGCCAGCUAUUUGUGGAAUUUCUGCAGCUGUACUUUGUGCCAUCUCCCUCAUGCAGAUAUAUAUACUAGCAGACUAGCACGUAAAUUAUUUACAUCAAAACUGAGACAUAUCUAUAUAUGAUGGAGGCAUUUCUUUCUUUAUAUUCAGCAGUACCUCUUGCUACUAUAAAGAAAGUAGAAACAUGGUUGAUAAAUAAUCACAUUGUUCUGCCCAUUUUUCAUUUCACAAUCCAUUACAAUUGUUAUGUCCUUGCAAUCAUACCACUACACAUGACGCUUCCUAGAUCUGGAACCCAACCAAAGAACAAUCAAGUUUGAUUCGUGCUGUUAUUGGGCCUCGCUGCGACCCUGAUGUUUUUGGGCCAAGUUGGGCAGAAUCUACUCAUGCUUAUAAAACAAGUUUGUUAACAGAUUAAACAGUCCCACCUAGCUUCUUACAGCUAAUUCUAUCAAGUUUAAAAAAAAUAAUUCUAUCAAUUUAUAUAUGCCUAUAAGUAUGAGAAUUAACAAGCAGCUUGAGAAUAAACUAACGGAGGGUGAGCUGUGUUUAGGAAAAAGUAUCACCUGGUUGGCGUAAUAAAUAAAAGGAGUUGGGGAUUGUUGGCUGCCAAAUGAAAAAUCUCAGGAGGCCUAAAUAAAAGGGAUCGUGGGCUGCGAAUCAAAAAACCCUGGUUAGUAUAAAUAAAGGAAAUUGUGGGCUCUGAAAUGAAAAAUUCCGGUUGACAUAAAUAAAGGGAUUGUGGGCUACGAAACGAAUAAUCUCAAUUGAGCACGAUUGUUGUAUGCUACACGAAAAAUAAAAGCGACUAUGGUCUGUGAAACAAAAAAUAAGCAAAGGCCUCCCGGUUGGCAUAAAUAAAAUGCUAUGAAACGAAGAAAAUAAAUAAAUGGGCAUGGUUGAACAAUUUCAGUAUUUUAUACUAAUACUAUUUUCAUUUAAAGGCUGAAUUUUGUCACCCCGUUGCAACACACGGGCAUAUGUCCUAGAAGAUAUUUGGAAUGCAGAGUUCAUGAAAACAAAUAUUUGUGCGGUCUAAAUAGUACUGUAUUUUAGUUUUCUGGAAGGAUGCAAAAGUCAUACUGGGCUUCCUGUGUAUACUGAUUGCUAAAUGAUGCAAUAGUAUUUGUGCGGUGGGGGAGUGUCAUUCCCUGUGUUUACCAAUUGGUCUCACCCUCUUAAGAGAUCUAACCCUUGUCACCGUAAGGAAAAAAGCAAAGAGUAUUAUGACGCCAUAAAGUUUGAAUUCAGAGAAGUAUAUGCUGAAGAACACCAGAAUUAGUCUUCAUGAACCAUCAUCGCCUUGUUGAUGAUGCUUCACAUAGCGCCCACAAAUUAAACAACCUAUGAAAUGGCCAGAAGGGACCGGAUAUCCUACUUGUAUUUGCAGAGGAAUUCCGAACAGGCUUCAUUAAUUCAGUAAAGGCCUAUGUAGAAACAUCUAUGACUUCACUAGAGAGUGGAUCUGCACUCGAGGAGCAGCUCGAGCAGCUCUGCGCACAUGCCUAGACCUACUUUCCUGUCGGCGUUGUUGAUAUGUGUGUUCUGUAUCAUUCUUUACGUCUAGCGUGUGAUGUAAUCCAUUUUCAGACUUUUCACCAGUGGAAGCAUAUAUUUUACGAGCUGAAUCAAUAGAUGUUCAUUGAGCUUA